CCCACUCCCCAUCUGAGAUCAAGUGUGUCCAGUAUUUUUUUUUAAGCCAUCUGGUAACCUUACAAAAAACCCAUAAUUGUGACUUGAAAAUAAGAAAACUGAUAAAUCAAACUUAUGUUGCUCUCUUUAGUCAAUAAACAAUAUACAUGUCUACAUCAUCUGAUUGACAGGCCUUCGGUUAGGAGAGUGCCCCUUGAUCCCCUCCUGUCUAUGACCAAACAUGCCCUUAAACAGGACAGCACCUUUUGAACAGACUGCGUGCAUCUUCCUCCCCUCAUGGCACUCAGUGUUUUGAGAGGUGCUCCGGGUUGCUUCCAUCUCCAAAAAUGCUCAUGAUGCCCCCCCCCCAAAAGGGCUAGAUGCAAAAACAAUAACAGUGUUCCCCCCCACCACUCCCUUGUGGGAACAUCAUUGUCUUUUGUUGAACAUAGAAGGAGAUAUGAAAGGGAAAUGACUGUGCUCUUACGACUGUACCAGUCGAUAUGUAAAAGAUAUAUUUAAUAAGAAAACAUUGGCAAGGAAAUGUGGAUAUUUAUUGAUAAUGUUUCUCAGACCUCAACUGAACCCAUUACAGAGUAUGAAGGGCUGAACUGCCCCUAGAGUUUGUCUUAAAAUACAGAUGCAUUCAGCAGCAGGUCAAUAUAGAAACCAGCACAGGUCAGUAGUGACCUGAUACUAAAAGCUAGUGAUGAAAUGCCUUUGAUGUUUUCAUUUCUGUUCUAAAAUUAGCAAAAUGUCCACAAGAAUUAAAAAGAAGCAUUGCUGAUAAAAAAAAAAAAAAACGUUGGCAGUCACCAGCACACAUUCUGCACAAAGAUUCUCAUCUCUUCCUAAAAGAAGAAUCAGAUAAACUUCUGAAGGCACUAAAAGAUGAAAAAGUUCAAGGCAUUAAGACAAGGCGGAAUCUGAACAGACAGACACCUACAUCAUCAUAAGGAUUAUUUCAGUUAGCUGUUCUGUCAUUCAGUUACAGCAUUUUAAUGGACUCUGUAUAAUAGAUUGCUUUACUGAUUAUAUGCUGUUCAGUUAUAUUGCCAAGUUGGAAAUUUACUGUAUGUAUUCUCUACUUGGCUUUUUGUUCUUUAUUGGUCCAAUAUUGAAUAUUUUAAAUACAUAAAAUACUAGUUUUGGGCAGUAAUCUUUAUAUGAAAACCUGGCAUCUAAUCUUCAUGUUUCAGUUUGAGAGCUUAUCUUUAUCACCUGGUGUCAAGGCCAAAUCCCUACUCUGGCAUGAUGAAUGCAGUAGUGCGGGCCCGCAAAAGUACCCCAAAACCUUAUCUUUCCAGGCUUUGGUAUAAAACUUCCCCCAAAACUCUUAAAAACCUAGCUUUUGGUGAUAAAAAUCCACUACCACCACCCAAGUAAUAGUAAGAAAACCAAGGAAGAGAUCACUUGGGAAAUCUCAGCCCUAUAGUAAAACCAGGACACAAAAAUUAACCAAUAUCAGAUUAA